rnacentral:rRNA from 1 species
AUUGAACGCUGGCGGCAUGCUUUACACAUGCAAGUCGAACGGUAACAGGUAAAGCUGACGAGUGGCGAACGGGUGAGUAAUGCAUCGGAACGUGCCCGAUCGUGGGGGAUAACGCAGCGAAAGCUGCGCUAAUACCGCAUACGAUCUGAGGAUGAAAGCGGGGGACCGUAAGGCCUCGCGCGAUCGGAGGGGCCGAUGUCAGAUUAGGUAGUUGGUGGGGUAAAGGCCCACCAAGCCGACGAUCUGUAGCUGGUCUGAGAGGACGACCAGCCACACUGGGACUGAGACACGGCCCAGACUCCUACGGGAGGCAGCAGUGGGGAAUUUUGGACAAUGGGCGAAAGCCUGAUCCAGCAAUGCCGCGUGCAGGAAGAAGGCCUUCGGGUUGUAAACUGCUUUUGUACGGAGCGAAAAGGUCCUUUCUAAUACAAGGGGCUCAUGACGGUACCGUAAGAAUAAGCACCGGCUAACUACGUGCCAGCAGCCGCGGUAACAC